rnacentral:misc_RNA from 1 species
GAUGAAGAACGUAGCGAAAUGCGAUACUUGGUGUGAAUUGCAGAAUCCCGUGAACCAUCGAGUCUUUGAACGCAAGUUGCGCCCGAAGCCAUUAGGCCGAGGGCACGCCUGCCUGGGCGUCACACGUCGUUGCCCCCCCAUCUACUCCUUCGGGAUUGCGGGGGGCGGAUGAUGGCCUCCCGUGCGCCUCGCCGCGCGGUUGGCAUAAAUGCCAAGUCCUCGGCGACGCACGCCACGACAAUCGGUGGUUGCGAAACCUCGGUUGCCCGUCGUGUGCGGUCGUCGCGCAUCGAGGGCUCGAAAAAAAUUGCCGGGUUCCGGCUCGGCUUUCAACGCGACCCCAGGUCAGGCGGGGUUACCCGCUGAAUUUAAGCAUAUCAAUAAGCGGAGGA